rnacentral:rRNA from 1 species
UACGGAGGGUGCAAGCGUUGCUCGGAAUUAUUGGGCGUAAAGGGUAGGUAGAUGGUCUCAUUUGUCUGGGGUGAAAGCCUUGAGCUUAACUCAAGAAGUGCCCCAGAAACGGUGAGACUGGAGUCCUGGAGAGGGUCGUGGAAUUCCCGGUGUAGCGGUGAAAUGCGUAGAGAUCGGGAGGAACACCAGAGGCGAAAGCGGCGACCUGGACAGGUACUGACACUCAACUACGAAAGCGUGGGGAGCAAACAGG